AAAAAGAUAAGCUAAAACAAGCUUUUGGGCUCAUACCCCAACGAUAGUGACUACUCACUUCUUUUUA
rnacentral:tRNA from 1 species